AACGAACGCUGGCGGCAUGCCUAACACAUGCAAGUCGAACGAGACCUUCGGGUCUAGUGGCGCACGGGUGCGUAACGCGUGGGAAUCUGCCCUUGGGUGCGGAAUAACAGUUAGAAAUGACUGCUAAUACCGCAUAAUGACUCCGGUCCAAAGAUUUAUCGCCCAGGGAUGAGCCCGCGUCGGAUUAGCUAGUUGGUAGGGUAAAAGCCUACCAAGGCAACGAUCCGUAGCUGGUCUGAGAGGAUGAUCAGCCACACUGGGACUGAGACACGGCCCAGACUCCUACGGGAGGCAGCAGUGGGGAAUAUUGGACAAUGGGCGAAAGCCUGAUCCAGCAAUGCCGCGUGAGUGAUGAAGGCCUUAGGGUUGUAAAGCUCUUUUACCCGGGAUGAUAAUGACAGUACCGGGAGAAUAAGCCCCGGCUAACUCCGUGCCAGCCGCCGCGGUAAUAC
rnacentral:rRNA from 1 species